rnacentral:rRNA from 1 species
AGCAGCCGCGGUAAUUCCAGCUCCAAUAGCGUAUAUUAAAGUUGUUGCAGUUAAAAAGCUCGUAGUUGAAUUUCGGGAUUGGCGCAUCGGUCGUGCCUCACGGGGUAUGAACUGGUGCAGUCAAUUUCUCACCUUCUGGAGAACCGCGAUGUCCUUAAUUGGAUGCCGCGGGGAACCAGGACCUUUACUUUGAAAAAAUUAGAGUGUUUAAAGCAGGCAUUUUUGCUUGAAUACAUUAGCAUGGAAUAAUAAAAUAGGACGGCAUGGUUCUAUUUUGUUGGUUUCUAGGACCACCGUAAUGAUUAAUAGGGAUAGUUGGGGGCAUUAGUAUUCAAUUGUCAGAGGUGAAAUUCUUGGAUUUAUUGAAGACUAACUACUGCGAAAGCAUUUGCCAAGGAUGUUUUCAUUAAUCAAGAACGAAAGUUAGGGGAUCGAAGACGAUCAGAUACCGUCGUAGUCUUAACCAUAAACUAUGCCGACUAGGAAUCAGACGAUGUAAUUUUUUAAUGACUCGUUUGGC